CGUUACAUGCUCUUAAGUUGUUAGGGAUUUCGAUUGGAUCUCAGCUGGCCACUCCACCCCGCCACGGCGGCCUCGAUCUUGUGCACGGCUCGUUGCCGGCGCUCGGACCCGGUUGCGGCGCCCGCUCGUGCCCACAUCUUCGUCGAUGUCUUGUUCCCGUGCUGCCAGCGUCCGAAGGAUUUUCGUCGAUGCCUCGUUGGAUCUGCGACGCGUUUGUCCUUCUUGAGGCACGUCUGUCGUCCGUCCGUCCGCCCUCAUCAUCGAUGGCGGCCUUUGGAGGUGACGUGGACCAACCACCCCAGGAGCCUCGUUGUAUCCCCAGGCGCCCCUCGCUCUGUACCCCACCGCUGGGCGCUGGCGGUGAAUCUAGCGGCCCGCGUGGCAUGGGGACGAGCUCCGCUCGAAACGGCAGCAGUGGCACAGCCAGCAUCGCCUCCCCGCUCGUUAGUAGUUACUAGUUAGCAACAAGCAUCUCAUGAUUAGCCAUGGUCAUAAUAGAACGUUCUACCAGUUUGUCUUGUUAUUUGCAUGUCUAUUGUUUACCAUGAUUAUAAUAAUAAUAUAUUUUUUUUAAAAAAAACUCUGUUUUUGUAUAUCAAAUAUUUGAGUCUAGUUUUCCAUGCAUAUAUUUAUCAUGAUUAAUGAGAAUGUGUGAGCAUAUAA